rnacentral:rRNA from 1 species
GCCAGACUCCUACGGGAGGCAGCAGUGGGGGAUAUUGCACAAUGGGGGGAACCCUGGUGCAGCGACGCCGCGUGGGUGAAGGAGCGUUUCGGCGCGUAAAGCCCUAUCGGCAGGGAAGAAGGAGGACGGUACCUGACUAAGAAGCCCCGGCUAACUACGUGCCAGCAGCCGCGGUAAUACGUAGGGGGCAAGCGUUAUCCGGAUUUACUGGGUGUAAAGGGGGCGCAGACGGCAGCGCAAGCCAGGAGUGAAAGCCCGGGGCCCAACCCCGGGACUGCUCUUGGAACUGCGCGGCUGGAGUGCAGGAGGGGCAGGCGGAAUUCCUGGUGUAGCGGUGAAAUGCGUAGAUAUCAGGAGGAACACCGGUGGCGAAGGCGGCCUGCUGGACGACAACUGACGGUGAGGCGCGAAAGCGUGGGGAGCAAACAGGAUUAGAUACCCGCGUAU